rnacentral:rRNA from 1 species
CCUACGGGAGGCAGCAGUAGGGAAUAUUGCUCAAUGGGGGAAACCCUGAAGCAGCAACGCCGCGUGGAGGAUGACGGUUUUCGGAUUGUAAACUCCUUUUGUUAGAGAAGAUAAUGACGGUAUCUAACGAAUAAGCACCGGCUAACUCCGUGCCAGCAGCCGCGGUAAUACGGAGGGUGCAGGCGUUACUCGGAAUCACUGGGCGUAAAGGGCGCGUAGGCGGGAUAGCAAGUCAGAUGUGAAAUCCUAUGGCUUAACCAUAGAACUGCAUUUGAAACUGUUAUUCUAGAGUAUGGGAGAGGUGGGUGGAAUGCGUGGUGUAGGGGUAAAAUCCGUAGAGAUCAAGAGGAAUACUCAUUGCGAAGGCGACCUGCUAGAACAUAACUGACGCUGAUGCGCGAAAGCGUGGGGAGCAAACAGGAUUAGAUACCCGUGUAGUC